rnacentral:rRNA from 1 species
GAGUCGGACCUGCCCAGUGAAUAUAUUUUAACGGCCGCGGUACUCUGACCGUGCAAAGGUAGCAUAAUCAUUUGCCCUAUAAUUGAGGGCUAGUAUGAAUGGUUUGACGUGAACAAAGCUGUCUCUAUGUAAUUUUUUAGAACUUGAUUUCUAGGUGAGGAAACCUAGAUUUAAUUGAAAGACAAGAAGACCCUAUUGAGCUUUAAAAAAAUAAAUUGAAAAUAAUGUAUAAUUUUAAAUAUUAAUCUAUUUUAGAUUUUGGUUGGGGCGACUAUGGAACAAAUAAAGCUUCUUUAUUAAUUAAUAAGACUUACAAGUGUUGAUCCAGAAAUUUUGAUCAAUGGAAUUAGUUACCAUAGGGAUAACAGCAUAAUUCUCUUUGAGAGUCCUUAUCGAAAAGAGAGUUUGUGACCUCGAUGUUGGACUAGAAUAUCCUAAAGAUGCAGCAGUCUUUAAGGGUUNGUC